rnacentral:lncRNA from 1 species
AAAGGAUUCCAGUAGCUUACCAUUGAACUUCACUGAAUAAUGGACAGAGGAUACACACGCCAUAACGCGAGAGACCCAGAGCUGGGAGAAACCCCAUUUGAGCAGGGCCCUCUCAAGAAAAUCCCAGUCUACUCAGUCAUAUGCCUUCGAGAGGUCAAGCUUGUAAGCACACAGAGCCGGUGAAUUUUCCUUAACAGAUUGUAUAUGGUGGAUACAUU